rnacentral:rRNA from 2 species
AUGAUUUUGGAUCCGACUGAGUGGCGAACUGGUGAGUAACACGUGGGUAACCUGCCCAGAAGAAGGGGAUAACACCUGGAAACAGAUGCUAAUACCGUAUAACAACAAGAACCACAUGGUUCUUGUUUGAAAGCUGGCCUUUGUGCUAGUGCUUCUGGAUGGACCCGCGGCGUAUUAGCUAGUUGGUGAGAUAAUAGCUCACCAAGGCAAUGAUACGUAGCAGACCUGAGAGGGUAAUCUGCCACAAUGGGACUGAGACACGGCCCAUACUCCUACGGGAGGCAGCAGUAGGGAAUCUUCCACAAUGGACGAAAGUCUGAUGGAGCAACGCCGCGUGAGUGAAGAAGGGUUUCGGCUCGUAAAACUCUGUUGUUAGAGAAGAACAGCCGUGAGAGCAACUGCUCACGGUAUGACGGUAUCUAACCAGAAAGUCACGGCUAACUACGUGCCAGCAGCCGCGGUAAUACGUAGGUGGCAAACGUUGUCCGGAUUUAUUGGGCGUAAAGGGAGCGCAGGCGGUUUAUUAAGUCUGAUGUGAAAGCCUUCGGCUUAACCGGAGAAGUGCAUCGGAAACUGAUAAACUUGAGUGCAGAAAAGGAUAGUGGAACUUCAUGUGUAGCGGUGAAAUGCGUAGAUAUAUGAAGGAACACCAGUGGCGAAGGCGGCUAUCUGGUCUGUAACUGACGCUGAGGCUCGAAAGCAUGGGUAGCAAACAGGAUUAGAUACCCUGGUAGUCCAUGCCGUAAACGAUGAAUGCUAGGUGUUGGAAGGUUUCCGCCUUUCAGUGCCGCAGCUAACGCAUUAAGCAUUCCGCCUGGGGAGUACGACCGCAAGGUUGAAACUCAAGGGAAUUGACGGGGACCCGCACAAGCGGUGGAGCAUGUGGUUUAAUUCGAUGCUACGCGAAGAACUUACCAGGACUGACAUCUUCU